AGCAAAGACGACCAGCCGAGGAUGGCUGGCGGAGGCGUGGGGCAGGCCGCAGGACCCUCGAAGGAUCGUGUGAGACCCCGGGCAGCCUCUUGGGAGGCCAUUUCGAGGAGAAAACCUUGAUUUCUGCCUCAGGACCCUGGGCCUCAGUUUUCCUAUCUGAGAAGAAGGGCGAAGAGCUGUGCCCCCGACCACACCCGUCGGUGAUGGGGCAAACCGAGGGCAAGCAGAGGAGCGCUUCACUUUUGGUCAUCCCUUGGGCCACCAGGGCCUUCCCGUCUCCGUCUUCCCAUCGCAGGUCCUGGCCUCCUUCACACCACUCCAGGAUACCGCAGCAUCUCCCCCAGCGCAGCAGACGGAGGGCGCUUCACAUGCCCCCGGACCUAAGCCCACUCUCCCCUUCAAGAUCUGGACUCCACUUUUUUGCAACACUCUUAACUUCUUUGGAAGCUGGGAAGCCUCCUACUCCCUUGGGCCUCUCCACCCUGCCCUCAGCUAACUCGUCGGCAAGCCCCAGCCUAGACAUUGCCUGUUUUGUGAAGACAUCUAGAUGCUGGGCUGUCUGUUGAGUGCCCCACCCUGUGUUUGAGCAGCACCCUCUACUUCCCCUGUUCUACUUGCAUGUUUAUGUGCUCGUCUUCCUCAUUAUAAGAUCCACAGGGGAGGGGCCAUGUCUAUAUUAUUCAUACUUACAGUCCAGUGUCUAGUAUCUGGCACGUAGUAGGCACUCACUAGCUAUUGAGAUAUAAAUAUAGAUAUUUGUUGAAUUGAAAAUGAAUUGGGCCGGGCGUGGUGGCUCACGCCUGUAAUCCCAGAACUUUGGGAGGCCGAGGCAGGUGGAUCACUAGGUCAGGAGUUCGAGACAAGUCUGACCAAAAUGGUGAAACCCAGUCUCUACUAAAAAUACAAAAAUUAGCUGGGCGUGGUGGCACGUGCCUGUAAUCCCAGCUAUUCAGGAGGCUGAGGCGGGAGAAUCGCUUGAACCCCGGGAGGUGGAGGUUGCAGUGAGUCGAGAUUGCACCACUACACUCCAGCCUGGACAACAGAGUGAGACCCUGUCUCAAAAAAAAAAAAAAAAAAAGAGAAAAAGAAUAAAAUUAAAAAAAAGAAAAUAAAGGAACCUCAUUCACAUACACCUCCAAAACUCUGAUUUCCUAAAGUUGGGCAUUUCUCAUUGCUGGAGGUGUUCAGUUAGAGGCAUGCCGCCCCCUUGAAGAAAUGUUUAUUUCAUUUGUACAGUGGGUUGGGAUUUUACCUGAAUGCUUUGAGUACCCUUUUAAUCCUAUGAUGCUAGAGAUUGAUAGACCCAUGCCUAUUAUUCCUGUCAGUUCUCCCUGAAAUGUCAUCAGUUCUUCAUGUUCCGCUAUUUCUAGCUGUUGGCCCUACUCGUUUCUGUGCCUAAAUGCCCUACCUCCCACUCCUUUUCUGAGAAAGAUCUUCUGCCCUGUCAGUUAUGAAGUAAAGAUGUCCUAAGAUUCCUGCUCUUUCUUUUUUCUUUCUUUCUUUCUCUCUCUUUUUUUUUUUUUUCGACGGAGUUUCGCUCUUGUUGCCUGGAGUGCAAUGGCUGGAGUGCAAUGGCGCGAUCUCAGCUCACUGCAGCCUCUGCCACCUAGGCCCACCUUGGUCUCCCCAAGUGCUGGCAUUACAGGUGUGAGCCACUGUGCCCGGCCUCCUGCUCUUCUUUCAACCCUCUGCUCAGCAUCUUAGGCCUCAUUGGUGAUGUCCCACCUUGCUAGGUAGCAUCUUUCCUGAAUAUUUCUCCACUAAACAUUCUGAUGUUGGCUAGAUGGCCUAGUUAAUCUACACAUUUCAUUUUAUCACCUUCUCCAGAUGUUUUUUUGUGUAUGUCAGCUGAUACACUCUGGGGAGAAUGCCUUAAUAUAUGGGAAUAAUUAACUCAUGGCCAAGAAGGAAAUAACCAAGGGGACUUUUACUCUGGACCUAAUUCAAACCAAAGAGACAGAGCCUGAGAGAAAGCAGCUCUGUCAUCCUUGAGUUAGUAACAUCCAGGAAGGGAAGGCUAGGGUGGGGGAGUGAGUAAAACAGAUGGCAUUUAGGGAAGAACCAACAGGACUUUAAGAGGCAUGGCAGAGGGGCUUUGAUCCUGGCUAAACCAUCAGGGAAGGCAAUUGGAGCUGGGUGAACAGAUGGGGUCUUAUUACUGAAGAGAAAACGGUAAGGAGGCAGGGGGAAAUGGGACGUGUGCUAAAGCAGAGUGCCUCAUUCAGUGGAUGCAGUGAGAGCAGAGGCUGUUGGAAAAGUGGAUCAGGGAGGACCAUGCCACCAGGUGGGCAUCAGCAGAGUAUCACCCGAGUAUUGCAGAGGGAUACCAAAUAAGUCCACCUGAAGCCAGAGCUGAAACCCUGUGGAGGUCCGUUUACCCCUUCAGAAGUAGUGUACCACCAUCCAUCUACCACUGGAAUCCAAUUUCAGUUUUGGCAAAUUGUUAUAAAUAGGAAAAAGUCAGGGUUCCACAAUUCUGGCAGCACCCAGAGACUAUAACAGCAUCUGCACAGCCAAGUAGAGUUAGGAAACCUGGAUCCUAAUCCUGACUUUGCCUCUGAUUAGAUGUGUGAUCCUGGGCUGGAGCUGUUUUUUCAGUUGUAAAAUGCUGUUUAUUGGUGUUAGGUAGCAGCUAAUAAGGCUGGAGGUGGGGCUGGGUGUAGUGGCUCACACAUGUAAUCUCAGCAGUUUGACAGGCCAAGGCAGGAGGAUUGCUGGAGGCCAGGGAUUUGAGACCAGCUUGGGCUACAUAGUGAGACUCUGCCUGUACUAAAAAUUAAAAAAAAAAAAAAUAACUCAGUGCAGUGGCGCAUGCCUGUAGUCCCAGCUACUCAGGAGGUUGGGGUGGGAGGGUUGCUUGAGCCCAGGAGUUUGAGGCUGCAGUGAACUAUGAUCAAUCACACCACUGCAUUCUAGUAGCCUGAGUGACAGAGCAAGACCUGUCUCUAAAAAAAAAGAAAUUUUUUUUAAGGGUGGAGGUAGGGAAAUUCAAAGCUACUUACUAGCUGUGUGACCUUGCCUAAACUACCUCCUUGGAUUUGCAGUCUGUUUAUUUGAAAAUGUCAUAAGGGAUAAAUGAGAUUCCUUAUGUAAAGUACUUUAUAAAUAUUAAGCACUUACCAAAUGUUAGUCUGUUUUCACAUUAUUCUUCUUGGAUUACCAGAAAUUGGUUUGACCAUGAAUAAACAGGAGAUAAUUUCUUGGGUAAUCUGAGUUUGAAUCCCCUUUCUCUCUCUUACUAAUUGUAUGACUUUGAUUAGGUUAUUUAAUAUUUAAUUGUUCUGGGUCUCAGUUUUCUCAUUUGUGAAAUUAAAAUGUGUUCUUCAGAAUUGUGAGGGUUAAAUGUGAUAAAAGGCCUGACUCAUAUGAGAAAAUGCUCAAUAUAUUUGUUUUGUC
rnacentral:lncRNA from 1 species